GAUGAACGCUAGCUACAGGCUUAACACAUGCAAGUCGAGGGGCAGCGGUAUCGAAAGCUUGCUUUCGGUAGCCGGCGACCGGCGCACGGGUGAGUAACGCGUAUCGAACCUGCCUCAUACUCGGGAAUAGCCUUGCGAAAGUAAGAUUAAUGCCCGGUGUUUUCAGAGUCCCGCAUGAGGCUUUGAACAAAGAUUUAUCGGUAUGAGAUGGCGAUGCGUCCCAUUAGCUUGUUGGCGGGGUAACGGCCCACCAAGGCAUCGAUGGGUAGGGGUUCUGAGAGGAAGGUCCCCCACAGUGGAACUGAGACACGGUCCAAACUCCUACGGGAGGCAGCAGUGAGGAAUAUUGGUCAAUGGGCGGAAGCCUGAACCAGCCAAGUAGCGUGCAGGAAGACGGCCCUCCGGGUUGUAAACUGCUUUUAGUUGGGAAUAAAACGGGGCUCGUGAGCCCCCUUGCAUGUACCAUCAGAAAAAGGACCGGCUAAUUCCGUG
rnacentral:rRNA from 1 species